GCAUCGAUGAAGAACGCAGCGAAAUGCGAUAAGUAGUGUGAAUUGCAGAAUUCAGUGAAUCAUCGAAUCUUUGAACGCACAUUGCGCCCUUUGGUAUUCCAAAGGGCAUGCCUGUUCGAGCGUCAUUUGUACCCUCAAGCUUUGCUUGGUGUUGGGCGU
rnacentral:rRNA from 1 species